UUGCAAUAUGCACUGUGUGUGAAGACAGCAGAGCAUAGGGACCUUGGAGAUCAUUCAGCGGAAACAUGAGACCACCCCCUUCAGAGUAUACAAGAGGAAGACAGGAUUGGCCACAACAUCGGCCUCUCUGAAACCUACAAGAGUUGUCUUCAUUUGUGUGAGGAUGAAGGCUGAGCAUCUCUGAUCUGAAAAAUCACAAGUCCAGCAUACUGCCAAAUCUGAAAUUGGUGGAAGACAGCGCCGAUGGGAUGGGGUGUGGCUUCCUGCUCUGAUAACCUCAAGGGCACAGCACAUUUGCAACUUAGCCUCUCUGUGCCAACCAAGCUGGAUUUGCAGACUUUUCCUUCUAACCCACCUCCAGCUCAUGUUGGGUAAG